GCCCUGAUAGUUAAAUGGAUAUAACAAGGCUCUCCUAAAGCUUAGUUCCGAGUUCGAUUCUCGGUCGGGGUACAA
rnacentral:tRNA from 1 species